UACGUAGGGUGCAAGCGUUGUUCGGAAUUACUGGGCGUAAAGCGCGCGUAGGCGGGUUUGAAAGUCGAUUGUGAAAUCCCUAGGCUUAACCUGGGAAUUGCAGUCGAAACUCCAAAUCUUGAAUGUCUGAGAGGAUGGCGGAAUUCCCGGUGUAGUAGUGAAAUACGUAGAUAUCGGGAAGAACACCUGAGGCGAAGGCGGCUAUCUGGCGGUACAUUGACGCUAAGGCGCGAAAGCGUGGGGAGCAAACAGG
rnacentral:rRNA from 1 species